AAGCGAAAUGGAUUUUGCUGCAGUGGCAAGUGAAACAGUCAAAUUUACAGAAAUGUAUAUCAUGGAAGUGAAAAAGGCUUGAGAUAAUUAACAAAAUAGAAGCUAAAAGGGCGAGCAGCGCCACCAGAGAACUAAACGUAAACACACUACGUUGGUCGGUAUAGGGCUAGGAUGAUGUUGGGGACGAAGUGAUUCCAUCGCCAACAGUGUCGGCUUUUUAACGAAAACUGAAAACUUGAGUAGUUCGUGUCACUUCUCUGAAUAGAAGUGUAGUGGAUAUCCUGGGAAAAGCUUAAAGAUAUCGAUUUGGUGUCAAUCCGUCAGGAACACAAUUUCUGCAGCUCCUGAGGAGACGUUAUGUUCGAUUAACAUGUGCUCCAGGUGAAUUUGAAGUAUCGAAGAGAAUCAAAUCGUGCCAAUCGAUGCCUUUUGGACUUGUCAUCUUAGCUGGGAAUGGCAAUGAACUCUACUGAAAGCUAUUUGCAAAAACUGUGGCUUGUUCACUAUGAAUGUAGAGAGUUUGAUUGAGGAGCUGUGUGUAAAAUGGUUCAAGAGUCAUGAACGUUUUUGAGGUUGGUUCAACUCUCCUAACAAAUGUCUCUAUGAUAUUAUCACUACCACUGCUGGUAGCACAUAAUUAUGUGACAUUGUACUGGGUACACUUCAUGGUUGGAUGAUGGCUGUAAUUUAUGGUACAGGUGUCUAAAGGGGGAGGUGUUUAAUGCUUUCGUCAAGGUGAUUCCAAACUUUUACAGCUGCGAAGCGAAUGUUGAAUUUACCAUAGUUCAAUUCCAUUAAUUUGUUGACUAAAGCAAGAAAGCUGGCUUGGGACAAAAUGUUACCAUUCAAGGGUAAACAAUAUACUGUACAUAUUGUGUCAAAAGAGGUGAGCAGUCUGGAUCAGUGUAGGAAGUUGAGUGAUAAAGCUGCUACAUGAAAUACAUGUACCUAUAUCAGUCUCUUGGUCAGCUGGCAGUUCAUAUACUUUCUCCCAUGUGAGCAAUACAGAUCGCUGUCUUAGUAAAGAAGAGAGAAUACACCUUUUUUUCUAAUCAUAGUAACAACCAAGGGGAAAAUUUGUGAAUUUCAUUUAAGAUGUUGUGCAUGCAUUCUUCCAAUCUUAUUGCCUGGUAAGAAAAUGUUGGGUUUUUUCCCAACUAGAAAAUUAAUUGUUGUUAACAUCAUCAAAAUGACAGCAACCUAUCUUUUAAACCAUUCAAUUUCAAAGUUUUCAUUGACUUGUGUUGCUGAGAGCUACUUGUAACUUUAGCCAAGGUAAAUGAACUAGCUUAUUUCAUGACUGAAUAUUAGACUCAUGUUCAAUUUUGUUGAAUUGUGCGUAUAGCUGAGUGCUUAGGAUGUGUCUUGCCUCUAAGCCAGCCAAACCACACCACUUAUUGUUACAUUAUUUUUGCAGUUUUUUUGCCUGAAUUUUCCUUCCAGCAACAGGAGAAAUUACUAGUAACUCUAAAGUAAAUCCAAUCAUACAUGAUUCAGAGGACAAUUUUGAUAUUACAUAAUAAUAUUACUAAAAGACA